UCCCUGGUAGCUCAGACAGUAAAGAAUUUGCCUGCAAUGCAGGAGACCCAGGUUUGAUCCCUGGUUUGGGAA
rnacentral:tRNA from 1 species